GAUCACACCAUGGACACAACCUGUUCCAACUUCUCCCCUCUGAUGGCUUCCACCAUGAACUCCACCGGGGAGCUCCGACUUUUCUUUCCCAUCUUCACCGCAGUUAAGAGCCAACCUUCACUUCGAAUUCCCCCCAACGAUAUGGAUUAUAUUAUGUUUUUGACAUGUGGUCGUGGGCUGGAGGACCAGAAAUGCAGUUUUGGAGAAGUAUAAUGGACAAAGAGAGGAAGAUGAUGAUAUUCUGUCUGUUCUUGGCAGCUCUCAGCAGCCCUGUGUUUACUGAAGAAUGGAAGGCUGAUGUUGUAAAGAACGUCUUGAUGCCCUGAUUUCAUCCUGUGUUGUAGUACCCUGUCCAUUCAACCAUCCUAGAAGACCCCUGCCCACGUCCAGGCUCAGAGGAGUCUGGCAUCGUUCAACCGGUCAACAAGAACGUAUCUCUCACGAGGA